rnacentral:lncRNA from 1 species
UGAGAUGCUUUGACGAUCGAAUGCUAAGAUAGUUGCCCAAUAACUGCAUUUGUGCACGACCAUGGGUAACAUCCAAAUUUAAGAAUUUAAGAAAUCAGUGUGUACUUUGGAGGCUUCUUUCCUUCCUAAAAAUCUGACAAACAUGUAUUCGUCUAGGGUAUUUCCUUGUCAGAAAAUCUGAGAACAUACUCAUGUCUACUUCUAGAGUAAGAAUUUAUGACCUAUAAAUAUGGAAUUCGAACUUAGUCCAGCGAAUUUACAUGAGAAAUAGGAAAUCACCAUUUCCAAUUGCUAACUUGGUCCACUGGGAAUUGGAGCAUAUCCACGUCCACCUACGUGGUGCUCGGUGCUCCUACAGUCUCUGCAUACAUGGCUGCGAUCAGUUAUCCACUAAUGGGUGACGCCGAAACUUUGUGCUGUCAUGACCGGAGGCACAACUUCGUGUGCUAACCUGCAUGUGAAUUGGAAAAAUAAUCAGGCCGAGUAUUCUGCUGAUAAUCCAAGUGUUAAAAAGUAUCUUUGUUGAAAAGUAUUAAAUCCCAUAAUGCAGCAUAGGAGAAUCUACACAAAGGCAAUGACAGUCACCUCUUCUAAAGAUGCAGCAACAUAAGCUCCUCAUCUUUCAUGGACAAUAAAUAACACGUACAACCAAUGUUAAAUUGUGAUCCAAAUUAUACCGUAUUGAACUAGACGUAGUACAAACGGUGUGGGCCUUUGCGUUGGUACCGACGCGUACGAGUACAACUCGUUUACUUAGUCCUUCAAAGACUCUCAUGUAUUGCCCUUUAUAUAUACUCCAUGUAGUCACACCCAAGAUUUUGGUUACCGGACUGCACUUUUUUACCGAAGGGCGCCGGAAUUUGCGGAUACCGUGGAUACCGUGAAAUACCGACCGAAAUAUUUUUAACGAAUUUUGAAUUCAAAAUUUUCAAGCAUGUAAUGGAUAGCUAUCGUACGCUGGUUGAACAUGAGCGUUUCCUGUCACAGUGGUAGCUAGCCUGCUAUUAAGUACUUGCUGUGUCGCAGGUUCAAUCCCUGCUUUUGGUAAUUUUCUUUUUUAGAUUUCGUCAACUUAAUGCUAGAGAACGCAAAAAACAUACGCGAAUUGAAACUCGAACGCGCGAUCUGACGUUGGGUAGCAUUAAGCUUUAACCACCACAGCAAAAGAACUACCAUGAUUUACAUGAGAUUGGACCUUACUUAGCUAUUGUUUCAGCGUUCAAAUUCAAAAAUUUCAAAAAUUCGAUUUUUUUUGCUCAGGAUGCCCAAUUUUAGAGGGGUAGCGAGAAUCGCGGGUACCGCCCGGUAUCCGUUUUUCUCGCUCGGUACUCAAAACCGUGGUCACACCUAAAGACGGCCUGUCGUCUCGUGCUUGUAAUACUCCGCUCUCAUAGUGAUUGCGUCAUCGUGCGUCCGUGGUUUUCUUCCGCAAGGGUUUUCACGUAAAAAUCCGUGUCUCUCGUGUCUCAUUGAUCUUGUUUUAUCUAACAACCAAGACAUCCCAUGAUUGCAAAGUAAGAUAAUCUACAGGUGGACACAGAAAUGAAGUUAAAAUUAGACCCUAAAACUCUAAUACUCUCACCUCAUGAACUAAUAAUUAUAUGUGAUCGCUUACAAAAGAUGGAUGAUUAUGAUACAAUACAAUAAAACAUAGCUUGGUCAAAGAAUUAUUAGGUCUUAGAAAAGUUGGUAUACUAUUUGUAGUUCUACUAUGACACAUGUUUAACACUGUUAUGUAAUACAGAGUACAACUAAAACUAAAGCAUAUACAUAUCUAUACUUCAGUGGGAUCUUCAAACAUGAGCAGUACUACUAAGUAGUAAUACCUCUUUGUAGGUCGUAUUCUCAUCAAAUUGGACUGUUCCACCUGUGCAUGUUCAUACAUAAUAUUCAGAAAAAAAAAUUGGUAUGAUACCUUGCCAACUCUCCAAGAUUGCAUAGGCAAUUAGCAGAUUAAUUCUGCAUAACAGAAUAUAUGCGAAUUUUGUAAUAUCUGCAAUACCUUUCUAGUAUAACUUUCAUCUUGGGGAUUGCAACAUUAAUAUGCCACUUUGUUGAUGAGGUAGACCUGAAGGCCAACGUGCCUGCAUGCCAGGAUAGAUUCUAGAUUAAUCCGGCAUAAUCUGCACAGGCACACUUCAAAUAGGAUGAUUAGAAUCGGAGUAACACUACAGUGUGAGGCAUCUACACAAACCAAAAUAGAACAUUUAAAAGGUCAAUUGAAUCAGAAACCGGAGAGGCUUGAGUAGCUUGCUAGGUUUUGGCUGAAAGGUGCGUACAACAGGGGAGGCGUUGGGGAAUUGGCAGAGAUGGUCGACGGGGGGCAAACGUACCGAUGAUUGAUGGCAAGAGAAACCAUUGAAGUUGGCUAGGCGAGUCGUCGAUGACUAGAGUCGCAAAGUGGAGGGUGUCCAUGGGCGCAUAUGCAGACGAGGGUCGGGCGGCUGGCCAGUGGCGAGGCCCUCGGCCGGUGAGGGCCAACAGCAGGGGCGGUGCUGGGAAUAAAAGCGGCCAUGGCGCCAUGGGGGAGCAACGUGUGCUUGCUGUGCGUGGGCUCGUGCGGGGAGCAAAGAGCAGAGGAGCGGCAACAGGCGAAAGGAACGCGGCUUGCCGACGACUUUGGCGAGGACGAGGAUGGACGCUACCUGCGGCGGAGAGAGUCGGCAAUGGUAGUCGCGGUCGUGGGCGGAGGAGCUUGGCGGUGGAGGAGUGGUCGUCGUGGAGGACGGAGGCGACGUUGGUUGGGGAUGAGUGUUUGGGACUAGAGCUGGAUUUGGGGAAAACUGAUCGGGGG